UACGAAGGGGGCUAGCGUUGCUCGGAAUCACUGGGCGUAAAGGGUGCGUAGGCGGAUCUUUAAGUCAGGGGUGAAAUCCUGGAGCUCAACUCCAGAACUGCUUUUGAUACUGAGGAUCUCGAGUUCGGGAGAGGUGAGUGGAACUGCGAGUGUAGAGGUGAAAUUCGUAGAUAUUCGCAAGAACACCAGUGGCGAAGGCGGCUCACUGGCCCGAUACUGACGCUGAGGCACGAAAGCGUGGGGAGCAAACAGG
rnacentral:rRNA from 1 species